GCAGAUGGCGUCUGAGACGGGUAUGCAAAAGUGCUUGCAGGUAGAUGAGUAAGCUGCACAUACGUACCGGUAGCAUUACAGAACGCCCAUGGGGCACCUGAAGGAUCGUAGGAGACAAGCUGAGGCUGCUCAUAGUUCUGGACAUAUCCAUUGUGGAACACAGGAUAUGAAGCUACAUUCUGCUGGCACAUCAAAGGAAGAGUCGGCUCUGGCACAGGCGCAGGGGCAGGGGCGGCAACGAGGUUGCUUUUCCCAAUUCCAUAGAUCAAUCCUCUAGCAAAUCUGGAAUCUUCAUAGACAUGUUUAAGCUUGAUGAAGACAAGUGCAGUCAUUAAGCUGUCUGAACCAGCGUGAUGUGCUCUUCCCACACGAGUGAUCUGAAGUAGCUGGGCUAGUUUGCUUAACCCGAGGUGUUCACCUAGUCCUUCACAGAAUCCAGCCAUGACCUUGGUGUCGUAAACUUGACCGAACACUUUGACAACCUCUGUUGCAAACUCGCCGUGAGUCUCUGGUAGCUUGCCAUGAUUGAGGAUACUCAAGAAGUAAGCGAAAUCGUAAGCUCCUUGGAAAGUGACGAACUCAACGUGUUUCUGAGAACGAAACACAGUCAUAAGCUUAGGGAAAAACCCGUAGCCGAACAUAUCAACUCCUUCGUCUCUAAUCUUCUGCAAAUCCAAACCAUGCCUCCUCAAGAAUUCGAUGGAAAGCUCGUUGCGUGUGUCUGAUGGGUCGCCGAAAUUGGAGAAGUUAAUCUCCCAAACACCACCGAUCUCUCCCUUGGCGUUGAAAAGAGUGAAACCACACUGGAUCAGCUUGGUGUUCUCGACAUUACCUUUCAUGGCUCUGUAACAUUCGUCGCUAGAGGAAUCGAAAUAAGUGCGGAAAAUAAUGCCAGGGUACUCUGUAUCGAAAGCGAUGAGU